CAAAAGAAGUUUACAACCCGUAGGGCCGUCGUCCUUCACGCGACUUGGCUGGUUCAGACUCUCGUCCAUUGACCAAUAUUCCUCACUGCUGCCUCCCGUAGGAGUCUGGACCGUGUCUCAGUUCCAGUGUGGGGGAUAAACCUCUCAGUUCCCCUAUCCAUCGUUGGCUUGGUAGGCUGUUACUCUACCAACUACCUAAUGGAACGCAUGCUCAUCUUUUACUGAUUAAUCUUUAGCAGUGGUAUCAUGCGAUACUGCUGCGUUAUGGGGUAUUAAUCCGAAUUUCUUCGGGCUAUGCUCCGGUAAAAGGUAGAUUGCAUACGUGUUACUCACCCGUGCGCCGGUCGUCAGCACAGUAUUGCUACUGCCUGCUACCCCUCGACUUGCAUGUGUUAGGCCUGUCGCUAGCGUUCAUCCUGAGCCAGGAUCAAACUCU
rnacentral:rRNA from 1 species